UUAGACUGGUUGAAGUUAUUAAGGAGAACUUGCUGUUGGCAUCUCAAAAGGCUGAUUACCCGUGGGUUCGAUGAUGGCAUCUAUGAGACAAACACAGAGCUAGAAGAGCACUGCAUGCUAGAACCCUGCAAGAAAAGAAGAAAGGUCUCAUCAGCCUGUGGUCUCAACUAGCAGAACUGUCACGCUUUCUCAAGCACACAUUGCAGUUUUCUGAGGCCACUCUUGAGGACAGACCAGGAUAAGAACCUUUGAGAUUCUCCAUCAGUGGGACACUUGAACACAAAUGCAGCAUCCCAUCUCUGUAUGUGAUAUUACUACAGGAAACUGAGUGUUUGAAGAAAGAAGAGGAUUUUAAUCUGUUCCAAAAUGAGAACUGUUACCAUUCUGUUUUGUAUGGCUUGUCUUUUGGGAGUAAUAUAAAUGUAUCACACUUUGAAAAGUCUGUAACUCCAUAAUAAUAAAGGGAAUUUUUAAUAUUUGCA
rnacentral:lncRNA from 1 species